UUGAACGCUGGCGGAAUGCUUACACAUGCAAGUCGAACGGCAGCACGGGGGCAACCCUGGUGGCGAGUGGCGAACGGGUGAGUAAUACAUCGGAACGUGCCCAAUCGUGGGGAUAACUACGCGAAAGCGUAGCUAAUACCGCAUACGAUCUACGGAUGAAAGCGGGGGAUUCGCAAGACCUCGCGCGAAUGGAGCGGCCGAUGGCAGAUUAGGUAGUUGGUGGGGUAAUGGCUCACCAAGGCCUGCGAUCAUGUAGCUGGUCUGAGAGGACGGACCGGCCACACUGGGACUGAGACACGGCCCAGACUCCUACGGGAGGCAGCAGUGGGGAAUUUUGGACAAUGGGGCGCAAGCCUGAUCGCAGCCAUUCCGCGUGGCAGUGAUGAAGUCCUUCGGUAUGUAAACUGCUUUGUACGGGACGAAAGCGCUGAUUAAUACUCGCGUCAUGACGGUACCGUAGAAUAAGCACCGGCUAACUACGUGCCAGCAGCCGCGGUAAUACGUAGGGGGCAAGCGUUAUCGGAAUUACUGGGCGUAAAGCGUGCGCGUAGGCGGUAUGUAAGUAGGAUGUGAAAUCCCUGGGCUCAACCUGGAACUGCAUUGUGAACUGCAAUUGCUGGAGUGCGGCAGAGGGGGAUGGAAUUCCUGCGUGUAGCAGUGAAAUGCGUAGAUAUGCGGAGGAACACCGAUGGCGAAGGCGAUUCCCUGGGCCUGCACUGACGCUCAUGCAGCGAAAGCGUAGGGGAGCAAACAGGAUUAGAUACCCUGGUAGGUCCUACGCCCUAAACGAUGAUCAACUGGUUGUUGGGGUAUUCACUGACUCAGUACGAAGCUAACGCAAUGAAGUUGACCGCCUGGGGAGUACGGCCGCAAGGCUUGAAACUCAAAGGAAUUGACGGGGACCCGCACAAGCGGUGGAUGCAUGUGGUUUAAUUCGAUGCAACGCGAAGAACCUUACCCACCCUUGACAUGUACGGAUUCCGCAGAGAUCGGGGAGACCUGAGCUUCGGAAGAGACCGUAACACAGGUGCUGCAUGGCUGUCGUCAGCUCGUGGCGUGAGAUGUUGGCCCUUAAGUCCGGUAAACGAGCGCAACCCUCACCUUAGUUGCAGGUUUAGCCGUAACUCCAUGAGGAACAGCCCGGCUUUAGCCGGAGGAAGGCGCGGAUGACGUCAAGUCAGCACGGCUCUUACGGCCUGGGCUACACACGCCUACAAUGGCGGAAAACAACGGAGAUGCGAAGCUGGUAAGCAGCAAGCUAAUCUCUGAAAAUUCGCCCCAGUUCAGAUCGGGGCUGCAAUUCGGCCUCGUGAAGUCGGAAUUGCUAGUAAUCGCGAAUCAGCAGGUCGCGGUGAAUACGUUCUCGCCUCUUGUACACACCGCCCGGUCAAGGCAGCAAAGUUGGGGGCACCCGAAUCAGAUUUUAUUUGAGAAGGUGAAACCAGCGAUGAGGCUUAAGUCGUAACAAGGUAA
rnacentral:rRNA from 1 species